UACGAGGGGGGCGAGCGUUGUUCGGAAUUAUUGGGCGUAAAGGGUGCGUAGGCGGUUUGGUAAGUCUUUUGUGAAAUCUCUGGGCUCAACUCAGAGUCUGCAAGGGAAACUGCCGGGCUGGAGUGUGGGAGAGGUGAGUGGAAUUUCCGGUGUAGCGGUGAAAUGCGUAGAUAUCGGAAGGAACACCUGUGGCGAAAGCGGCUCACUGGACCACAACUGACGCUGAUGCACGAAAGCUAGGAGAGCAAACAGG
rnacentral:rRNA from 1 species